rnacentral:rRNA from 1 species
CGUCUACGAGUUUGAUCCUGGCUCAGAGCGAACGCUGGCGGCAGGCCUAACACAUGCAAGUCGAACGCCCCUUCGGGGGAGUGGCGGACGGGUGAGUAACGCGUGGGAACGUGCCCUUUGGUACGGAACAACUGAGGGAAACUUCAGCUAAUACCGUAUGUGCCCCCAUUCUUAGCGGGAUGGGUGGGAAAGAUUUAUCGCCAUUGGAGCGGCCCGCGUUAGAUUAGCUAGUUGGUAGGGUAAUGGCCUACCAAGGCGACGAUCUAUAGCUGGUCUGAGAGGAUGAUCAGCCACACUGGGACUGAGACACGGCCCAGACUCCUACGAGAGGCAGCAGUGGGGAAUCUUGCGCAAUGGGCGAAAGCCUGACGCAGCCAUGCCGCGUGAAUGAUGAAGGUCUUAGGAUUGUAAAAUUCUUUCACCGGGGACGAUAAUGACGGUACCCGGAGAAGAAGCCCCGGCUAACUUCGUG